rfam:Myotis davidii contig38780, whole genome shotgun sequence.
GACUAUGAGGGUGAUCUUUCACCCCAUUGAUUGGCAGAGUUGAUUCAGUUGAUAUGGCUGGCUAGGCAGGUGUCCCCUUCCUCCCUCACUGAUCCACAUGGUCCUCCCCAAAGCUGGGCACUCAGUUGAAGAGCACAACCUAUCCCCCUCCACCCAGAGGAAAGGACUGGUCUUCAGUCAAGGGUAUACGAGUAGCUAUGCUCCCUGCUAGAACCUCCAAACAAGUUCUCAAGGCCCGUUUUUAGGAGAACAUCAGGUAGUCAAGCUUCCAAGACUCCAUAUAUAUCCAAAUGAGGCACUGCAUGUGGUAGUCUGCCUUUCUUU